CCAUGCUGCUCCAAAUUCCUACCUUUAUGUGUUCAGAUCUACUUUAAAAUAAGGUAUUUUAAAUCUAACAUGUACCAACUAUUCAUCUUUUGGGAAAAUAUAAUUGGUAGACUUGGUAGACAUAAUUUGUUCUAAUGGAAUUUCAGUUUAUUGUGCACACAAUGUCCUUUGUUGUUUUAUCUGGGUGAGCACCUUUGGAAUACGAUUCAAAAUCCUUGGAGGGUAUCCUUCCGAAAAUCUUAAAUGGGUUGCAAAUGCAAAUAUCAACUGUUAGUAUCAUAGCUUUUGUUUUGAAAGCUACUAUCCAGGUAAGAAAAGUAUUGUCAUAAGCUGCAUUUAAAAUUGAUAUUCACUUGGUCAUUUGUCGAGUGGAUCUAAGUGAAAUCUAUUUUUUUUAUGAGAUUAUUCACUUAGUCAUUUGUCGAGUUGAGCUAAGUGAAAUCUGUUUUUUGUAUAGGAUUAUUCACUUACUCAUUUGUCGAGUUGAAGUGAAAUCUGUUCCUUUAUAUGAGAUAUUGCAGACUUGCAGUUGCAGAUUAUGGAUUUACAUUUUUUUUUGCUUCACUACGUAUUACCCUGAAGCCCCAUCUGCUUGGUUGAUUUUAACCCCAAUAUACAAGGUGGACAUGCAGAUAGAUGGCCAUGUAUCCUCACAGGAGAACAUGGAACCUGGAGCUGGCAAUGGUAAAUUGACCGGAGCCGUCGUCGGCACCGUUGAGCUCUAGACCCAGGUGCACCGAGUACUAUGUUAUGCCGAAUGGAGCCUACUGGUCGGAGUGUGAGUGGAAGCCGCCGUCAGAGGUGGUCGGCGACUGCGCGCUGGUUCCAGAACGCGUACAAGGAGGCUCGCAACGGGACAUCGCCAACCCCCAAGAACGAGUACAAGGUAUAGCAACACAACUUGUUCCAAAUUAGAUCUCUUUUGAUUCAGGUUUCUUAUUUAGUCGUCUGUGCUAGGUACAUGGGGAUUUGAUUCAGCUUCCAUGGAUGUCAUUUCAUAAAUAUAUGAAUGGAUUGAUGAAGGGUGUUUCUGUUGUUCCUGGAACCACCAUUCUUCAGGGCAGGUACACCCCAUCUCUCUCCCUCUAAUUUUUCCUCUGAUUUUCCUGAUUUGGAAAGGAUUCUUUAGUGCACCCCUCACAAUUUGGUCUUAAUUUCCCUGCUUGCCACUGGUCCUGAUUU
rnacentral:lncRNA from 1 species